rnacentral:snoRNA from 1 species
AAACAAAAAAUUAACCAGUAUCAUUGGCUGCCUGUAGAUCACCAACAUACGGGCGGUCCCUCUAAGCUGGAAGAAGAAACCUUUCUUAUUAGAACAGCCUAAGUUCUGUCGUGCGAACCAGUCCCAACACGUUCCAUGACACUAAUGUCGUUCUAACAAUA